rnacentral:rRNA from 1 species
GACGAACGCUGGCGGCGUGCUUAACACAUGCAAGUCGAACGGAAAGGCCCUGCUUUUGUGGGGUGCUCGAGUGGCGAACGGGUGAGUAACACGUGAGUAACCUGCCCUUGACUUUGUGAUAACUUCAGGAAACUGGGGCUAAUACCGGAUAGGAGCUCCUGCUGCAUGUUGGGGGUUGGAAAGUUUCGGCGGUUGUGGAUGGACUCGCGGCUUAUCAGCUGGUUGGUGGAGUAGUGGCUUACCAAGGCUUUGACGGGUAGCCGGCAUGAGAGGGUGACCGGCGACAUUGGGACUGAGAUACGGACCAGAAUCCUACGGGAGGCAGCAGGGGGGAACAUUGCAGAAUGGGCGGAAGCCUGAUGCAGCAACGCCGCGUGCGGGAUGCCGGCCUUCGGGUUGUAAACAGCUUUCGACGGUGACGAAGCGUGAGUGACGGUAAUGGGUAAAGAAGCACCGGCUAACUACGUG